GUAUUUUGAAUUAAGUAUUCAUAAUAGUUUUUCAGACAAAGUGGUUCAAGGUUAUAGGUUGGUGUAGGUGUUUCUCCGAAAAGAAACACAACAUUGCACACAAGGUGAGUACUAUUUUUAAAAAGUGCCAUAAAACACUUUAUUAUGAAUGAUCCUUCCGCAGGUUCACCUACGGAAA
rnacentral:misc_RNA from 1 species